rnacentral:rRNA from 1 species
UCAGUUAUCGUUUAUUUGAUAGUACCUUACUACUUGGAUAACCGUGGUAAUUCUAGAGCUAAUACAUGCUAAAAACCCCGACUUCGGAAGGGGUGUAUUUAUUAGAUAAAAAACCAAUGCCCUUCGGGGCUCCUUGGUGAUUCAUAAUAACUUAACGAAUCGCAUAGCCUUGUGCUGGCGAUGGUUCAUUCAAAUUUCUGCCCUAUCAACUUUCGAUUGUAUGGUAUUGGCUUACAAUGGUUUCAACGGGUAACGGGGAAUUAGGGUUCUAUUCCGGAGAGGGAGCCUGAGAAACGGCUACCACAUCCAAGGAAGGCAGCAGGCGCGCAAAUUACCCAAUCCCGACACGGGGAGGUAGUGACAAUAAAUACUGAUACAGGGCUCAUUUGGGUCUUGUAAUUGGAAUGAGUACAAUUUAAAUCCCUUAACGAGGAACAAUUGGAGGGCAAGUCUGGUGCCAGCAGCCGCGGUAAUUCCAGCUCCAAUAGCGUAUAUUAAAGUUGUUGCAGUUAAAAAGCUCGUAGUUGAACCUUGGGUUUGGUUGGUCGGUCCGCCUCACCGCGUGCACUGAUCCGACCGAAUCUUUCCUUCUGGGGAACCGUAUGCCCUUCACUGGGUGUGCUGGGGAACCAGGACUUUUACUUUGAAAAAAUUAGAGUGUUCAAAGCAGGCCUAUGCUCGAAUACAUUAGCAUGGAAUAAUAGAAUAGGACGUGUGGUUCUAUUUUGUUGGUUUCUAGGACCGCCGUAAUGAUUAAUAGGGAUAGUCGGGGGCAUCAGUAUUCAAUUGUCAGAGGUGAAAUUCUUGGAUUUAUUGAAGACUAACUACUGCGAAAGCAUUUGCCAAGGAUGUUUUCAUUAAUCAGUGAACGAAAGUUAGGGGAUCGAAGACGAUCAGAUACCGUCGUAGUCUUAACCAUAAACUAUGCCGACUAGGGAUCGGGCGGUGUAUCUUUUGACCCGCUCGGCACCUUACGAGAAAUC